rnacentral:rRNA from 1 species
AAGCAUCUGCCAAGGAUGUUUUCAUUAAUCAAGAACGAAAGUUAGGGGAUCGAAGACGAUCAGAUACCGUCGUAGUCUUAACCAUAAACGAUGCCGACCAGCGAUUAGGAGACGUUGAAUACAAAACACCACCAUCGGUUGCGGUCAUCCUUGGCGUCUCGGUUUCGGCCGGGGCGCGGGGAUGGCUUAGCCCGGUGGCACCGGUGAAUGACUCCCCUAGCAGCUUGUGAGAA